UCCUAUAAUCGACACCCCACGCUAUACCUUACCCCCCCUAGCCAACCAACCUAUAUACCGCCGUCGCCAGCUCACACUGUGAAUGCACCACCGUAAGCACAAUCAUCACCCAUUAAAACGACAGGUCAAGGUGUAGUUAAUGGGGGGGCAGCGAUGGGCUACAUUUUCUUCACUAGAAAAUACCACCCGCACCAUGAAACCUUUGCCCACAGGUGGAUUUAGAAGUAAGCCCUGACAAGACAUGUCAACCUGAAAUACGCCCUGGGACG
rnacentral:rRNA from 1 species